UCCUCCCACAUCCAAAUCACACACAGCAGACGCCCCUCCACACGGUUACCAUUCCCCCUCCUCUUCCUCGUUGGACACCAUUCCUCGCUGCGCAGAACUCACCGCGAGCGUCUUCCUCCGACAAGCCUUCUCCCCAAGCUACUUGAUCCAAGGGUUCUUGUGCGACUGCUUUCCGUGUGGUCUUCCAUAUGACGAAUCUCCGGUCAAUCCAAUCGCGACACGUCACAAUAAAUAUAUUAAAUGUAUGUCAGUUGUUGCGUAUUAAACUCGUUUUAUGCCAUUCUAGAUACGUUAGCUUCAUAAUGAUAUUAUAUACACAUGAAAAUAUUACUUUAUCGUAACACAUGUUUCAUUUAGUUAAUUAAUUAUUUGUUUAGUCUUCGAUUAUCAAAAUGGAAAUUUAAUAAAAACUAAGUUAUAGUUUAAUUUAUUUUUAUAAGUAUAUGUUAAUGUGAUUAAUAACAACAUAAAUAUUUAGAUACAACCCUGGCCUAGUGUAAACAUGAUCUCAUUUAUUGAUUCUCGCGUGUCGCGCGCGUUGUCUCCGCGCUGUUCGCGCAUGAUGUGCGCGCGGUGGCGUGCUGCUUCGCGCGUCGUUCACGUGCUGUCUGCGCGUUGUUCGUGUGUGAUGGGCUCGUGGUCGCGUGCUGGUUCGUGCCGGUUCGCGCAUCGUUCGCGCUGGUCGUGCGCACUGUUUCGUGUGUCGUCAGCGUGCUGUGUCGCGCGUGUUCGCGCGUCGUUUGCAUGCUGUCGUAUUGUUUCGCUUGUCAUAAAUUCGUCUCGCUUAGAAUCUCUUGUGUUAAUUAAAUUACUUAUUUAUUUGACAGUUGUUAGUGUAGCAGAUUAAUCAAACUAAAUAGUAGAUAUAAUUUAUAAUUGAUAAGGUCGAAUUAAUUGUUAGCGUUAAUACUCGUUUAGCGUAAACGCGAUAUUUUCUCGACCGUCGCUUCGAGUUCGAUAUUUCUUUUUCCUCGCGUGACCGUAGUAACGCUCUCUAUUUUGUUUUGCAUGUUUUAUUAUGUUUUUAUUUGAAUAAUGUAAUGUUCUUUUGCAUGUAUAUGUUUGCUUGUUUGUGCCUGUUUGUAUUC